rnacentral:rRNA from 1 species
GAGUUGUAAUUUGUAGAGGAUGCUUCGGGUACGGCUCCGGUCUAAGUUCCUUGGAACAGGACGUCACAGAGGGUGAGAAUCCCGUACGUGACCGGCCCCCACGCCCGUGUGAAGCUCCUUCGACGAGUCGAGUUGUUUGGGAAUGCAGCUCAAAAUGGGUGGUAAAUUUCAUCUAAAGCUAAAUAUUGGCCAGAGACCGAUAGCGCACAAGUAGAGUGAUCGAAAGAUGAAAAGCACUUUGGAAAGAGAGUCAAACAGUACGUGAAAUUGUUGAAAGGGAAGCGCUUGCAACCAGACUUGCCCGCGGGUGAUCAGCCGGUAUUUUUACCGGUGCACUCGCCCGUGGUCAGGCCAGCAUCGGUUUGGGCGGCGGGAUAAAGUCCCCCGGAAUGUAGCUCCUUUCGGGGAGUGUUAUACCCGGGGGUGCAAUGCUGCCCGCCUGGACCGAGGACCGCGCUUUGGCUCGGAUGCUGGCGUAAUGGUUGUAAGCGACCCGUCUUGAAACACGGACCAAGGAGUCUAACAUCUAUGCGAGUGUUUGGGUGUCAAACCCAUGCGCGUAAUGAAAGUGAACGGAGGUGGGAACCCUCCAGGGUGCACCAUCGACCGAUCCUGAUGUCUUCGGAUGGAUUUGAGUAAGAGCAUAGCUGUUGGGACCCGAAAGAUGGUGAACUAUGCCUGAAUAGGGUGAAGCCAGAGGAAACUCUGGUGGAGGCUCGCAGCGGUUCUGACGUGCAAAUCGAUCGUCAAAUUUGGGUAUA